rnacentral:lncRNA from 1 species
AAACGUUAAGUCCCCAUUUAUUCCCCUUUCCCCAUUUUUAUUGCUUUCCUGCUACCAAAAUAACACCAUGCAGAGAGGCAAAAAAGACCUCAAUACGGUUUUCGGGUGAAGUUCCGUUUAUCCAGCCUCGGCAAGGAAGGAGUCCCUAGACACUAAGUCAGACCUGUAACGGUCACCUCGAACUGUUCCCGGUUUGUAAUGGUUCGGUUGCUUGGAUGCAGUAGCAUUUUUUCUUGUACAUUCUUAAACCGGUUGUGUUGAACAGA